rnacentral:ncRNA from 1 species
CAUAUUCCGAACAGAGUUCCCUAAAGCGAUUGGGCCAUGGGGCUUCUGUCGAUGGGUCGCGAGGGAAACCUUUCGGCCUCCCGUUUUGGAAAGGAAUGAUAUGA